UCUUUUAAUCAAUUUAGUAGAUUAUUACAAAGUAGAGAAAUAUUUUUUUCAUUACACAAUUAUUACAUGUGCUCAGAAAAAUUACUAUUUUCUAUUUUUAGUACUCCCUCUGGCUCUGUACGGACACUACUUUUCACUACAGUGUGCUGGACAUGCAGUCAAUCCGGCGUUGGUGGUGUGUCCUUCUAAUGGAGCGCUUUGGCAUUGAAGGGUAGGACAACUUCUUGAAAUAUCUGAUGUAUUGUUUAUCAUGAUUAGUAACUGCCUGCGAUGAGGUGUGGCGACUUGUCCAGGGUGUACCCUGCCUUCUGCCCGAAUGCAGCUGAGAUAGGCUACAGCGACCCCCCGCGACCCCAAAAAGGGACAAGCGGCAUGGCCAGAGGUUCUGUUAUUGGACAGACAAGGCGAGCGGCCUAUUGCAGGGCAUUCUUCAGCCAGUCUUUAGGGUAUCCAGAACUCAGUCCAGGCCAUCGACUGCGUCAUCAAAGAUUAACUGAAUACAGUACUGG